UACGGCCAUAUCACGUUGAAACACUACUUCUCGUACGAUCACUGCAGUUAAGCAACGUUGAGCUUUGACAAUACUUAGAUGAGUGACCGCUUGGGAAUACCAGAUGCU